AGCGAACGCUGGCGGCAGGCCUAACACAUGCAAGUCGAACGAACCUUUCGGGGUUAGUGGCGGACGGGUGAGUAACACGUGGGAACGUGCCUUUAGGUUCGGAAUAACUCAGGGAAACUUGUGCUAAUACCGAAUGUGCCCUUCGGGGGAAAGAUUUAUCGCCUUUAGAGCGGCCUGCGUCUGAUUAGCUAGUUGGUUGAGGUAAUGGCCCACCAAGGUGACGAUCAGUAGCUGGUCUGAGAGGAUGAUCAGCCACAUUGGGUCUGAGACACGGCCCAAACUCCUACGGGAGGCAGCAAUGGGGGAUCUUGCACAAUGGGCGGAGGCCUGACGCGGCCAUGCCGAGUGAAUAAUGAAGGUCUUAGGAUUGGAAAAUUCUUUCACCGGGGACGGUAAUGACGGUACCAGGAGAAGAAGCCCCGGCUAACUUCGUG
rnacentral:rRNA from 1 species